UACGUAGGGUGCAAGCGUUGUCCGGAAUUAUUGGGCGUAAAGAGCUCGUAGGCGGUUUGUCACGUCGGCCGUGAAAACUCGGGGCUCAACCCCGAGCCUGCGGUCGAUACGGGCAGACUAGAGUGCUGUAGGGGAGACUGGAAUUCCUGGUGUAGCGGUGAAAUGCGCAGAUAUCAGGAGGAACACCGAUGGCGAAGGCGGCUUCCUGGCCCGUACCUGACGCUGAGGCGCGAAAGCGUGGGGAGCAAACAGG
rnacentral:rRNA from 1 species